rnacentral:rRNA from 1 species
CCUACGGGAGGCAGCAGUAGGGAAUAUUGCUCAAUGGGGGAAACCCUGAAGCAGCAACGCCGCGUGGAGGAUGAAGGUUUUCGGAUUGUAAACUCCUUUUGUUAGAGAAGAUAAUGACGGUAUCUAACGAAUAAGCACCGGCUAACUCCGUGCCAGCAGCCGCGGGAAUACGGAGGGUGCAAGCGUUACUCGGAAUCACUGGGCGUAAAGAGCGCGUAGGCGGGAUAGCAAGUCAGAUGUGAAAUCCUAUGGCUUAACCAUAGAACUGCAUUUGAAACUGUUAUUCUAGAGUAUGGGAGAGGUAGGUGGAAUGCUUGGUGUAGGGGUAAAAUCCGUAGAGAUCAAGCGGAAUACUCAUUGCGAAGGCGACCUGCUAGAACAUAACUGACGCUGAUGCGCGAAAGCGUGGGGAGCAAACAGGAUUAGAUACCCUAGUAGUC